AGUUUGAUCCUGGCUCAGGACGAACGCUGGCGGCGUGCCUAAUACAUGCAAGUCGAACGAAGCUUUCUUUCACCGAAUGCUUGCAUUCACCGAAAGAAGCUUAGUGGCGAACGGGUGAGUAACACGUAGGCAACCUGCCCAAAAGAGGGGGAUAACACUUGGAAACAGGUGCUAAUACCGCAUAACCAUGAACACCGCAUGAUGUUCAUGUAAAAGACGGCUUUUGCUGUCGCUUUUGGAUGGGCCUGCGGCGUAUUAACUUGUUGGUGGGGUAACGGCCUACCAAGGUGAUGAUACGUAGCCGAACUGAGAGGUUGAUCGGCCACAUUGGGACUGAGACACGGCCCAAACUCCUACGGGAGGCAGCAGUAGGGAAUCUUCCACAAUGGACGAAAGUCUGAUGGAGCAACGCCGCGUGAAUGAAGAAGGCCUUCGGGUCGUAAAAUUCUGUUGUCAGAGAAGAAUGUGCGUGAGAGUAACUGUUCACGUAUUGACGGUAUCUGACCAGAAAGCCACGGCUAACUACGUGCCAGCAGCCGCGGUAAUACGUAGGUGGCGAGCGUUGUCCGGAUUUAUUGGGCGUAAAGGGAACGCAGGCGGUCUUUUAAGUCUGAUGUGAAAGCCUUCGGCUUAACCGAAGUAGUGCAUUGGAAACUGGAAGACUUGAGUGCAGAAGAGGAGAGUGGAACUCCAUGUGUAGCGGUGAAAUGCGUAGAUAUAUGGAAGAACACCAGUGGCGAAAGCGGCUCUCUGGUCUGUAACUGACGCUGAGGUUCGAAAGCGUGGGUAGCAAACAGGAUUAGAUACCCUGGUAGUCCACGCCGUAAACGAUGAGUGCUAAGUGUUGGAGGGUUUCCGCCCUUCAGUGCUGCAGCUAACGCAUUAAGCACUCCGCCUGGGGAGUACGGUCGCAAGACUGAAACUCAAAGGAAUUGACGG
rnacentral:rRNA from 1 species